CGAUUCAUGGUCGGAUGCUGACUAUGUUUCGGGGAUAGAUGAUGGAUCAUCAAAAUAGAACCACCAAAGGAGUUACUGGUUCAACUAUAGCAUCUACAGGGUUCGAUACCUGACAUACUAUUAGGAUCAUGGAACACACAUAGCUUACUGUCAAUCAACCAACUGACAGAUCAUUGAUAAUUCUUGACUAUCUUCAUAGACAUCAACCAAUCUCAAUGACUCGAUCGACUGUACAACCGAUAGCCAAUUGGUACAUCAGAAUCAUCGAUCGAUGGAGAGUCAGUAUGUUAGAAAUACCAACAUAUAGUUGGUAUGUCAAUAUCACCGACACCCAUCGAAAUAUCAGAAUCUACAAUCAUGAUACCACAAUCAUGGGUAACGACUC
rnacentral:lncRNA from 1 species